rnacentral:rRNA from 1 species
AUCCUGGCUCAGAUUGAACGCUAGCGGGAUGCCUUACACAUGCAAGUCGAACGGCAGCACGGACUUCGGUCUGGUGGCGAGUGGCGAACGGGUGAGUAAUGUAUCGGAACGUGCCCAGUAGCGGGGGAUAACUACGCGAAAGCGUAGCUAAUACCGCAUACGCCCUACGGGGGAAAGCAGGGGAUCUUCGGACCUUGCACUAUUGGAGCGGCCGAUAUCGGAUUAGCUAGUUGGUGGGGUAACGGCCUACCAAGGCGACGAUCCGUAGCUGGUUUGAGAGGACGACCAGCCACACUGGGACUGAGACACGGCCCAGACUCCUACGGGAGGCAGCAGUGGGGAAUUUUGGACAAUGGGGGAAACCCUGAUCCAGCCAUCCCGCGUGUGCGAUGAAGGCCUUCGGGUUGUAAAGCACUUUUGGCAGGAAAGAAACGUCGCGGGCUAAUACCUCGCGAAACUGACGGUACCUGC